rnacentral:rRNA from 1 species
UACGUAGGUGGCGAGCGUUGUCCGGAUUUACUGGGCGUAAAGGGAGCGUAGGCGGACUUUUAAGUGAGAUGUGAAAUACUCGGGCUCAACUUGAGUGCUGCAUUUCAAACUGGAAGUCUAGAGUGCAGGAGAGGAGAAUGGAAUUCCUAGUGUAGCGAUGAAAUGCGUAGAGAUUAGGAAGAACACCAGUGGCGAAGGCGAUUCUCUGGACUGUAACUGACGCUGAGGCUCGAAAGCGUGGGGAGCAAACAGG